CUGGAUAUCAUAUGUAAGUCGCUCUGGAUAAGAGCGUCUGCUAAAUAACGUAAA
rfam:Salmo salar isolate Sally breed double haploid chromosome ssa14, whole genome shotgun sequence.